CAAUGGAAAAAAGGUGAAAGGUACGAUCCUGUGGUGAAGAAUUCUACAAGUGGCAUAUUAGUAUGUUACUUGCAUCAGCCCAAGCCAGUGACGACUCAACACCAAUUCUGUUUUGUUCAUUUCUUUUCUUUUUUUGUUUUCU
rnacentral:ribozyme from 13 species